UACGUAGGGUGCAAGCGUUAAUCGGAAUUACUGGGCGUAAAGCGUGCGCAGGCGGUUUUGUAAGUCUGACGUGAAAAUCCCCGGGCUCAACCUGGGAAUUGCGUUGGAGACUGCAAGGCUGGAGUCUGGCAGAGGGGGGUAGAAUUCCACGUGUAGCAGUGAAAUGCGUAGAGAUGUGGAGGAACACCGAUGGCGCAAGGCAGCC
rnacentral:rRNA from 1 species